UUAGAUACCCUAUUAUACCGGUAAGCUCCUAGAUCAUUAAUAGUUAUAUUCUUGAAAUUUGAAGAAUUUGGCGGUGGUUUAGCCUUGUUAGAGGAACCUGUUUUUGAAUCGAUACACCACGCUAUAUCUUACUUAUUUUAAUAGUUUAUAUACCGUCAUUUUUAGAUAAUUUUAUAAAAAUUAAUUAUUGAAAUUUAAAAAAUUAUAGUAAAUUAAAUUAGAUCAAGGUGUAGCUGAUAAAUAAGUUAAAAUGGGUUACAAUAAAUUUUAUUUAUGACGAAAUGAUUGANCGAAAGGUUGUUAUUAUGAAGGAGGAUUUAAUUGUAAUUAGAGUUUAAUAAACUU
rnacentral:rRNA from 1 species